CUGGGAGCUGAUUUCUUUCUUUCUGUGAAAAUAAUUUGAACACAGUGUGUGGCGGAUCACAACGUAAGAAGCCAUGGAGGCCUCACAGGACCUCAACGAACAGAUGGUGAAGAAAUCACACAGUGACUCUCAUGUUCCAG